GCCCGUGUGGCGGAAUUGGUAGACGCGCAGCACUUAAAAUGCUGUGACUAACAAGUCGUGCCGGUUCGAGUCCGGCCUCGGGCA
rnacentral:tRNA from 1 species